AAGAAGCUCAGCUACGCUGGGACUGAGGCUCCUUCCUUCUUAAUAUCUGAAAUUCUGAAGGCAAUACUCUUGUCCUAAAGAAAUGUGUAAUGUGAGGUUAACCUCAAUGUGACGUACCAAGGGCAUGUGAAAUCACAAGGAGAAAGUGCAGUAUUUACUGAGUGAGCAGCUAUUCCAGUCAAUGCAUUCACAGCAUCCAAAGACAACAGAGGUGCUGGAUCACUGCCAGGCCCCAGGCAUUGAAGCCUUGCUUGCUGCAAUUCUCUUUGGCUAAGUUAGGCACAUACUAGAAUGGAUACAAGGAUCCCAUAGCAAUUGCCUUGUGAGACACUUAAAGGCAACUGAUCACAAGGUGAUUUGGACCACACGGUUCCCGCUGUCAGAAGAAUUCUGAAUUCAAUGAUGUCUUUUUGACAUAAACUCGUUCAUAGCAGUGCUUUAAAAAAAAAUCCAUGACCA
rnacentral:lncRNA from 1 species